CAUCAAGCCCAACCUGAUGCAGACUUUGGAGAAAACACCCGUGUUCGCCCAUGCCGGACACUUCGCCCAUGGCAACUCCUCCAUCUUGGCUGAUAAGAUAGCCCUGAAGCUGGUCGGCCAGGAGGGCUUUGCGGGUUACUGCUGGACUGCCCCUGCCCAAAGAAUAUGUGGAAGAGAACCUUGAGCUUCUCGGGAAGGGCUGCAGUAACAUGAGGAAACAGGUGGAAAAUGCCACACACUUUGGAGUGCCGGUGGUGGUGGCCGUCAACGCUUUCAAGACAGACACUGAAAUCAGAGCUGGACCUGAUCUGUAGCCUGGCCAAGGCAGUGGGAGCCUUUGAUGUGGUGCGCUGCUCUCAAUGGGCUGAAGGGGUGCUGGUGCUGUGGCCCUGGGACAGGCUGUGCAGAGGGCUUCUGAGGCCCCCAGCGACUUCAAGUUUCUCUAUGAUGUAGAGGUAAAGCGAGCGUUGGACCUUACUGAAAGACCUUGGUUUUCACUUUAUGACAUAGGUGCAUUGAUUUCAUCCUGCUCAGGUCGUAAAGGUUUUUCUCAUCUUGACUGUUCACUGGCUGGACUUCCAUUCAUACCAUCUCACUAUCAGUCUUGUGUCAUGUCCAUAGAUUAAAAUCACUGAUUCACUUCUUAUGCUCCAAUGACUGUUUUCAUCACAGAGUAUCCAUACAUCAACCCCAUGUCACCCCAUCAGUCAAUGUGCGACUGACAGGUGAGGAGAGAUGUGCCUGUGACCCCUGAGUCGAGGUUAGUCGAAAUGUGAAAUGGCUCUAAUGGCUCUACAGUGGAUCUGUCAGAGACAGGAGCAGGACUGCUGCUGUACACCCCUCUGGUGAUUGGUGACUGCCCAUGCGACUGACUGAGAGCACAAGGGGAAUCAGAGGAGAGGAGCAGUGGAAUAUUGGUUGACUCCUGAUAUAGGCUAUGCAAUGGCUUCCCACUGGGCACAAAUUGGUUGAAUCAACGUUAUUUCAACAUCAUUUGUCAAUGUACUGUAAAGUGGAAUCUAUGUGGAAAAUACAUUGAAUUUGAAAAAAGUAAUCGACAUAAACUGUUGAGGGUGAAAUUUAAACCACAGGAUUAUGUCAUGGUAACCAAAUUUCAACAUAGGAAAAACCUUGUGUAAAAUAUGUUGAAUUUGUACCUUUAAAACGUCAGAUCUUUAACAUUAUAUCCACUAUCAGAAAAAAAAUAGAACUAUCCAAGCAAAAGAUGCUGCCCUGCCUAUCUGUGCCACUGCCGUAGUCUGGCUUUAAUUCCAGUUUGUUUGCAAAUGAAUAAUUGAUAUGUUGGAUUCACGUCUCCAUCUCAACUAAAAAUCCAAGUUAAACAAUAGGACUACAUCAAAUCAAACUUUUUAAAUGCACUUUAAAUAAAGUUUUAUUUGAUUUAGUCCUAUUCUUUAACUUAGAUUUUUGGUUGAGAUGGAGAUGUGAAUCCAACAUAUAAAUUAUUACUGUAGACAAACUGAAAUUGAAGACUAGUCAGUGGCACAGAUGGAAUUAGCCAAGCACAAUAUACAUCUCCUUCAAAUGUUGAUAUUUAGUUGCAUUGGCAACCAAACACAAUUCAAUAUCACUUUUGAAAUACACUAUAUAUACAAAAGUAUGUGGACAUCCCUUCAAAUGAGAGGAUUUGGCUAUUUCAGCCAUACCCAAUGCUGACAGGUGUAUCAAAUUGAGCACACAGCCACGCAACCUCCAUAGACAAACAUUGGCAGUAGAAUGGCCCGUACUGAAGAGCUCAGUAUCUUUUAAUUUGGCACCGUCAUAGGAUGCAAUCUUUCCAACAAGUCAGUUUGUAAAAUGUCUGCUUGUAAAGUGCUGUUAUUGUGAAGUCGAAACAUCUAGGAGAACUUGCCGACUCAGCCUCGAAGUGGUGAGCCACACAAGCUCACAGAACGGGACCGCUGAGGCGCGUAGCACGUGAAAGUCCUCGGUUGCAACACUCAAUCCCGAGUUCCAAACUGCCUCUGGAAGCAAUGUCAGCACAAGAACUGUUUGCUGGGAGCUUCAUGAAAUGGGUUUCCAUGGCCGAGCAGCCGCACACAAGCCUAGGAUAACCAUGCGCAAUGACAACCGUUGUGGCUGGGGUGGUGUAAAGCUCGUCACCAUUGGACUCUGGAGCAGUGGAAAUGCCUUCUCUGGAGUGAUUAAUCCCACUUGACCAUCUGACAGUCCGAUGGACAAAUCUGGGUUUGGCGGAUGCCAAGAAAACACUACCUGCCCGAAUGCAUAGUGUCAACUGUAAAGUUUGAUGGAGCAGGAAUGAUGGUCUGGGGCUGUUUUUCAUGGUUCGGGCUAGGUCCCUUAGUUCCAGUGAAGGAAAAUCUUAACACUACAGUAUACAAUUACAUUCUAGACGAUUCUGUGCUUCCAACUUUGUGGCAACAGUUUGGGGAAGGCCCUUUCCUGUUUCAGCAUGACAAUGCCCCCGUGCACAAAGCAAGGUCCAUACAGGAAUGGUUUGUCGAGAUCUGUGUGGAAAAACUUGACUGGCCUGCACAGAGCCCUGACCUCAACCCCAUCGACCACUUUUGGGAUGAAUUGGAAUUCUGACUGUGAGCCAGGCCUAGUCACCCAACAUCAGUGCCCCGACCUGAAUAAUGCUCAUGUGGCUGAAUGGAAGCAAGUCCCCACAGCAAUGUUCCAACAUCUAGUGGAAAGCCUUCCCAGAAGAGUAGAGACUGUUAUUGUAGCAAAGGGGGGACCAACUCCAUAUUAAUGACCAUGACUUUGGAAUGAGAUGUUCGACGAGCAGCACACCUGCUUGUGUCGUGUAAAAUAUAUAGCCUAUUAACUUAUUAACAAAUGAUAUGCUGGAUUCACUGCUCCAACUCAACCAAAAAUAAAUUAUAAAGAAUGGGAUUAAGCCAGUGGCUCAGAUGGAACUAUACAAGCAGUGAUGCAUAUCCUUUAAAUGUUGAUAUUUGGUCAAUAUGACUUUUACAUGAAAUAUAAUAAAUAGCCUAAUGUUAAGGCUAUCUUACAAACUAAUGUAACAUUCAACCUUAAAAUGAGUAGCACAUCCAUGGCCACAUUGAGGUUAAUGUGAUUAUACAUUUGUUCUUAUGUAAUCAUAUUAAGCAUGCAUGUUCAAGAUAUCAUGCAUGGGUCGUCUCAGGUCUGUGGAGAUCUUCACAAUUGCUGUUGCUGUUGUACUGUGCAGAAUCUGGAACAGCAUGUGUGACAACUAAACCAAAAAUUGGACUUUGUUUUUCGAUUGGAAUUUGUUUGUGCUUUUAUAUGGUUUAAAGCAUAGUGAUAACACACUGGAAAUUCAACUUACUCAUUGACCAACGUCUCAACCAAAUAUUACCCAAUUGUCCACGUUAAAAUGACGUGGUGUGCCCAGUGGGUUGGUACUGUUGCAAAUGCACUAAAUUGAAACAUGUUGACGAAUCCGUGUAGAUGACCUGAACCAGUUUUAUGGUACUCAUAUGUCAUGCAUGUGUGUGUUUGUCUGUCUGAAUCACUUUUAGCUGCCCAUUGUGGAGAAGAUCCAGAUCAUUGCUCAGAAGAUCUACGGAGCUGAUAACAUAGAGCUGCUGCCAGAUGCACAGCACAAGGUGGAGCUUUACACCAAAUGGGUACAAUGGCUAUGAGACCAAGGAUUUUAAUCGAGAUGGUUAUUUGUUUACAUGAUAUCUGGAGCUCAUUCUACUCAAGGACAUGGGCCUUUCGUUGUCAACUUCAUCCUUGAAGGUUCAAGAAAAAGAGACUUAAGGCCAGAGUUUAUUUUUGUUGGUGAAAUUCUGUCAACAAACUUGCAUUUCUAUUUGAGGUUUUAAUCUCCUUUCAAUGAAUGCCAUUAUUGUCUUGUCCAGGGCUUUGGGGAAUCUGCCCAUCUGCAUGGCAAAGACCCAUCUUUUCACUUUCCUUCCUCUGUCAAUAAUGUCCUUUAUUUUUCACUCAGUCUCUGACGCCUGUCAAUAAUUCAUUUUGCUCUGCCUGUGGACACUGAAGGGUAAAUGUAAAGAAACUUAAACUGUUUGUCCCUCGAGACUAACUCUGUAUUAGUAUUCUAGCAGGGAGAAAUGACCUACUUAACAUUCCUUCAAUAAUCACCUCUAAAAAUAAACAAACCUUCCCAGAAGCUACUGUAUCUUAUCCCUCCAGAAGUACAGUGUUGUGUCUGAUAAUACUGUGCAUGGCAAGGAGACCCUAGGGAGAGGGAAGUCUCAGAUCAUGAAUCGGGUGGUUAUUGGUGUGUAAAUCAGACUCUGUCUACUGCUAUGGACUGGUAAAGAUUCAAAACAGAGUUGAAAAUGAAGCAGAACAAAUUCGGACAAUGCUGCAUUAUAAAAACUUCUGACAUUGACCAUCCUUGUUGUUUAAAGAUUUGUCCUAAUUGUGCCUCUCUUAAUGUUUCCUUUGUUUCUAUUUUAUAUCGUAAUAUAGAAUGACCAAUGUCAAAUACUGUUAAAGUACUGUACACUAAUUGAUUCUGUGAAAUUUGAGCAUGUUGCUUAAAAUCAAUGACACAUAUCAGAAAAUAAUUAUUAAAUGGAGAAGAAAACACAUUU